UACGUAGGGGGCUAGCGUUGUCCGGAAUCAUUGGGCGUAAAGCGCGCGUAGGCGGCCCGGUAAGUCCGUUGUAAAAGUCAAAGGCUCAACCUUUGAAAGCCGAUGGAUACUACCGGGCUAGAGUCCGGAAGAGGCGAGUAGAAUUCCUGGUGUAGCGGUGGAAUGCGCAGAUAUCAGGAGGAAUACCCAUAGCGAAGGCAGCUCGCUGGGACGGUACUGACGCUGAGGCGCGAAAGCGUGGGGAGCGAACAGG
rnacentral:rRNA from 1 species